UAUGGCCACAUCAUGUUGAAACACAAAUUCCUGUAUGAUCACUGAAGUUAAGCAACAUUGAGCUUGGUUAGUACCUAGAUGGGUGACUACUUGGGAAUACCAGAUGCUGUAA